UUCUCCUUCCCCUUCUUCCCAGCUGGAUUCCUUAGGUUUCAGGUGGCGCUCCCUCCCAGUCCUAAGACCUUCACUUUGUUUUGCUCCCAACCCCACUCCUCCUCGGUCUUUCCUCUCAUUUAUGUUUCCAAGAACGACGCCGACUCUAAAUCACUCUAUGUCAAUUUGGAUGAUAAUGUGAGUCACCAGAAAGAAAGGUUCUUUUUGGUUUUUCAUACCUCAGAUUGAGUUAGAUGAGCUGGAAAGUGUUUCCAUUCUGUCAAUGACCCUUGCAUGGGAUGAAUUUUCCUUCUCUACUUUUCAAGAAGCCCAUUAUUCGCUUCAAGAUUCUCUAGACCAGCUGUAGAUCUUCAGUACAAGGAUUUAAGGCAUUUUCAGUGGCAUUGGGAAAAGGGGGAGCUUGUCAUUGUCAGCAAUGUGCUUGAAUGUACAUCUGGUUUAAGCUGGGAAUCGCUUGUCAUGUGGCGUGCAUUACGUCAUGUAACUAAUACCAAGCAUGGCCAACAUUUGGCGAAGAAAACAAUUGAUUGCUUAGAUUGGACUGAGGGGGAAAUUAAUAUCCACCAACUUUUUACUGGCUAUACAAAUGGUCGUAGGGAUUGGCUUGCUUGGCCACAGAUAUUGAAAUUAAAAGAUUGGCCUCCUUCUAAUUUAUUUGAGGAACAAUUGCCUCGUCAUUGUGCUGAGUUCAUAUCUUCCUUACCCUUCAAGGAAUAUACUGAUCCUCACAAAGGUUCUCUUAACCUUGCUGUGAAGUUGCCUAAUGGUUCUCUAAAGCCAGACCUGGGGCCAAAAACAUAUAUUGCUUAUGGAUUUCCUCAGGAGCUUGGACGUGGUGAUUCAGUGACUAAGCUCCAUUGUGAUAUGUCUGAUGCAGUAAAUGUGUUGACUCAUAUUGCAGAAGUGAAACUGGAUUCUGAUCAACUUACUGUCAUUGAGAAGUUGAAGCAAAAGCAUCUCGAGCAAGAGAAAAGGGAGCUACUUGGUGAUGAUCAGGAUGGAGAAACUAAUGUUGACAUGCUUAAUAAUUCAUCUUCUACAAUAAAUGCUUUGGACAGGCAAAGUAGUGUUGAAGUCAUGGAACAAGAAGGUGGAUUAUGUGAUGGGAAAGAAGUUGAUCAGUUUCAUCAACCGUCUGGUAGUAAUGAGGUUGCCAUUGCUAAUGAGGAUGGCAUUUCAUAUGGAUCAGAGCUCCUAGAGGUUGACAAAGUAAAAAUAAAUCAAGGUGAUUUGUUGUUUGGGGGGGGGGGGUGCUUCAGAUGGUGCUCUCUGGGAUAUUUUUUGGAGACAGGAUGUCCCUAAGUUGCAGGAAUAUCUGAAGAAGCAUUUCAGAGUGUUUAGGAUGAUUGACUUUUGGAUGUAUAGGUCUUUACGCCUUUAUCUUAUUCUGCAAUGACUCUGUGAGAGAGGAAGAAUAAAAGGGAAUGGAAGUUUGGAAAAUUUUAGACUAGAAGAAAGCCAACUUAGAGUUGAGCUUUUUAAGAACAAAUUCUAUCUCAAAAUCAAUUAUAAGAUGAACAAGAUUUUUAAAAUUUAAAUAACCAAAUGGUCUAGAUCUAAAAAUAAGCUCUAUUUCACCUAGAUAUCUAGCUUUGAUGGUUGCCGAACACCUUAGAUUUUGGGAAAUUUAAUUCAUGUACCAUAGAAAAAAGAAGAAAAUUAUUCAUUUGCCAGGUUAUUUCUAGUUGUUAUGUUUAUCUGUUGUAUUUGUCUGAAGUUUGUCCUUGUUAUGUUUGUCUCUUGUAUUAUCAGUUGGAUCAUGCCAAUGAAUUACCAAACUCCCUGAAAGAAAGUGCCAAUAUUAACACUGUUUGGGGAUCGCUUAUUGUUGAAGAAUGCACAAGACUUGGUUUGAUGGUGAGAUGAUCUGAUAAAUAUUACAUAUGCACCAAUAUUAAUGCAUGAUUCUGAUUUAUUCUUUUGUUUAGUAUUUGUGUAUUGCUCCUGAUCUAGACCUUCCCCUGUUGCUGUUUCUGCUGCAAGUCACAAAUUAAUCACAUGUAUUUCAUGCUUCGAUGAGCGUUCACUUGCAUAUCAUGCUGUUGGAUAUGGAAGAGGAUCUCACAUUCCAGCAGUAGCCAUUACAUCAUCAGGCACUGCAGUUUCCAACCUUCUUCCUGCUGUCAAGUCUGAUCUGGCUAAAAAUAUCCAAUCAUUAGAACCAAACUCUAAAUGUUAUGUCUUGUAAUGAGUGAUUCUCUUACACUCUGAAGUAUAACAAUUUUACCUUAUAAGAAGCCCAUUCAAUCAUUAGAACCAAACUCUAAAUGUUAUGUCUUGUAAUGAGUGAUUCUCUUACACUCUGAAGUAUAACAAUUUUACCUUAUAAGAAGCCCAUUAUUCGCUUCAAGAUUCUCUAGACCAGGUGUCUGACAUGCCUUUUUGAUAUCUUUUCUGUUUUGUUGUUUUAUUUACCAUCAUUCCCUGCUUCUAUCAUUUUUCAUGUAAUUUGGAAUAUUUAAAGUUAAAUGGUCAAUUCUUUUUUGUAUCAGUUUUUACACCUUUGUGAAUGAAAAAAGGGAAUCUUUCAUUAUGGUUUGGUUGGGCCUUUCUCUUUGUUUCCUAUAAUCUAGAGGAUCCUUAUCUUCUUCUUGGGUUCUGAAAAAAUAAAAACAUCUACUCCCUCCUGUAUUUAUGCUUGAUGUUAUUUCCUACGGUGUGGGUUAUGUGUCAUGUCUGGUCUACGAUUGACACAUGGAAAUCCAAAUGCACUAGAGCUGCCCUCAAAAAACUCAAUUUGGUAGAAGAUAGAUCUAUUCCAAGGGUACAAGCUCAUUUCUUUCCUAAGAAUAUGUAAGUUUUACUUGCAACUAGUUGUUACUUCCCUGAAUGCCAAUAUUUGUUUGACAUGUUUCUUUAGUUGAUAUUUGUCUUUUGCAUUUUCUUUUCCUUGGGUCUGGUUAAAUGUUAAUGCUCAAAAGGCUAUUUUCGUUAUUGUUGUAUUUUUUUUGUAUUAUAUGCUAAUAUUUUAAGAUUUAAAUACAAUGCAGUGCAAACUAUAUUUGGGCCAAGCCCAUAUACUUUCAAUAGUCUAAUUCUAACUCAAUCCAUAAUAACUCUUUAACAUUGUUCCCAAAUCCCAAGUUUGAGCAUAAAUAUUAAUCAUGCCUAGCUUGUUACAAAUGAAAUAACAGUGUUUUCCGGUCACAACCUUUGUGAACAGAUCUGUUAGUUGGUCACUUGCCCUUAUGUGGGAGGUAGAUAUAAGAUUUUGUUGAACCUUCUCUCUGAUAAAAUGACAAUUUAUAUGCUUAUUCCUCUCAUGAAAAACUGUUGUUGAAAGACAGAAAAACAAAUACAACAGACGUUGGAACUGUGUCUUAACUACACAACAAAGUCUGCUUUAUACAGUAUGAUUGCAAUAAAUAUAAUUAUAGGAGAUUUUAUUCUUAUAUACAUGAUUUGAUAUGCCUAUAAAUCACAUUCUAAUCAAACGUGCCUAUAAUUACAAAGAUCCUAAUUAAAUAAGGGAACAAAUCAUAAAAAAAUAUAAAAAGAAGAAUGAUUCUUAAGAGAUCAUCUAGGAUAUUCUAAAAAUAGGGGGACUGAAUGUCUUGAUUUGGAAGAGGAAUAAAUUAUUCAAGUUUGUUAAGAUACAAAUAAUAUUUUUGAUCUCUUUAGGUGACUAACAAAAU